rnacentral:rRNA from 1 species
AUUGAACGCUGGCGGCAGGCUUAACACAUGCAAGUCGAGCGGGGGAAGGUAGCUUGCUACCGGACCUAGCGGCGGACGGGUGAGUAAUGCUUAGGAAUCUGCCUAUUAGUGGGGGACAACAUCUCGAAAGGGAUGCUAAUACCGCAUACGUCCUAUGGGAGAAAGCAGGGGAUCUUCGGACCUUGCGCUAAUAGAUGAGCCUAAGUCGGAUUAGCUAGUUGGUGGGGUAAAGGCCUACCAAGGCGACGAUCUGUAGCGGGUCUGAGAGGAUGAUCCGCCACCCUGGGACUGAGGAACGGCCCAGACUCCUACGGGAGGCAGCAGUGGGGAAUAUUGGACAAUGGGGGGAACCCUGAUCUAGCCAUGCCGCGUGUGUGAAGAAGGCCUUAUGGUUGUAAAGCACUUUAAGCGAGGAGGAGGCUACUUUAGUUAAUACCCAGAGAUAGUGGACGUUACUCGCAGAAUAAGCACCGGCUAACUCUGUGCCAGCCGCCGCCGUAA